AGACGUGACUUGCUCCUCCUUGCCUUCAUCAUGAUUGUGAGGCUUCUCCAGCAACGUGGAACUGAAGUGACGGCAGCCCUGUGACUGUUAACCCGGAACACUGCGAGAGGCUUUCCCAUGGAGGGGUCCUCACACCUGGGUUCACCCCUGCAGGAAGACACCGCUGCAUCGUGUGCAGCAGCUGCAAGGCCUGCGUCAUGGAAGGCGAGAGCCCCUGGCCGGCUGCCCUGAUGGAGAGACCAAGGAGCUAAGGCGCUAAGGAGAUGAACUAAGGUUGCAAAGUGAAAAGCAAGGCCAAGGAGGGGCUUCAUUUCAAAUACCAGAUGCGGGGCCGGCCCUCCAUCCGCUCCUCGGAACGCGGCACUCCGCUGCCUCCCGGGCAGACGGUCUCCACCGCUACUUGCUUCUGUUCAUCUCUGACGGCAGAGUUAAAUAAAAUUAAUACUAUUAUUG
rnacentral:antisense_RNA from 1 species